AAUAGAUACCCGGUAGUCCACGCCGUAAAACGAUGAGUGCUAAGUGUUAGAGGGUUUCCGCCCUUUAGUGCUGCAGCUAACGCAUUAAGCACUCCGCCUGGGGAGUACGGUCGCAAGACUGAAACUCAAAGGAAUUGACGGGGGCCCGCACAAGCGGUGGAGCAUGUGGUUUAAUUCGAAGCAACGCGAAGAACCUUACCAGGUCUUGACAUCCUCUGACAACUCUAGAGAUAGAGCGUUCCCCUUCGGGGGACAGAGUGACAGGUGGUGCAUGGUUGUCGUCAGCUCGUGUCGUGAGAUGUUGGGUUAAGUCCCGCAACGAGCGCAACCCUUGAUCUUAGUUGCCAGCAUUUAGUUGGGCACUCUAAGGUGACUGCCGGUGACAAACCGGAGGAAGGUGGGGAUGACGUCAAAUCAUCAUGCCCCUUAUGACCUGGGCUACACACGUGCUACAAUGGAUGGUACAAAGGGCUGCAAGACCGCGAGGUCAACGCAAUCCCAUAAAACCAUUCUCAGUUCGGAUUGUAGG
rnacentral:rRNA from 1 species